GCCGGGCAUGGUGGUGUGCGCCUGUAAUCCCAGCUACUUGGGAGGCUGAGGCAGGAGAAUCGCUUGAACCCAGGAGGUGGGGGUUGCAGUGAGCCAAGAUUGCGCCAUUGCACUCCAACCUGGGUGACAGGGUGAGACUCCGUCUCAA
rnacentral:SRP_RNA from 1 species